GGGGAUUAUGCUCAGGUCAGGGGGCCUAAAUAAAUAGCUGUUUUGUUUAUAAUACUGCCCAGCAGGCAUCUGGGUUCACCGAUAAACACAAAACUUGUGGUCUUCCUAUGAAUACAUAUGUAC
ensembl:snoRNA